rnacentral:rRNA from 1 species
AGGGAAUCUUGCGCAAUGGGCGAAAGCCUGACGCAGCGACGCCGCGUGGGGGAUGAAGGUCUUCGGAUCGUAAACCCCUGUCUUUGGGGACGAAGCAUGACGGUACCCAAGGAGGAAGCCCCGGCUAACUACGUGCCAGCAGCCGCGGUAAAACGUAGGGGGCGAGCGUUGUCCGGAAUUACUGGGCGUAAAGGGUGCGUAGGCGGCCGCUUAAGUCCUGUGUGAAAGGCCCCGGCUUAACCGGGGAGGGUCAGGGGAAACUGGGCGGCUUGAGUGCCGGAGAGGGUGGCGGAAUUCCCGGUGUAGCGGUGAAAUGCGUAGAGAUCGGGAGGAACACCAGUGGCGAAGGCGGCCACCUGGACGGCAACUGACGCUGAGGCACGACAGCUGGGGGAGCAAAC